rnacentral:rRNA from 1 species
CCUACGGGAGGCAGCAGUGGGGGAUAUUGCACAAUGGGGGAAACCCUGAUGCAGCGACGCCGCGUGAGUGAAGAAGUAUUUCGGUAUGUAAAGCUCUAUCAGCAGGGAAGAAAAUGACAGUACCUGACCAAUAAGCCACGGCCAACUCCGUGCCAGCCGCCGCGGUCAUACGUAGGGGGCAAGCGUUAUCCGGAUUUACUGGGUGUAACGGGAGCGUAGACGGGUAUGUAAGUCUGGAGUGAAAGCCCGGGGCCCAACCCCGGGACUGCUUUGGAAACUGUGUAACUGGAGUACGGGAGGGGCAGGCGGAAUUCCUGGUGUAGCGGUGAAAUGCGUAGAUAUCAGGAGGAACACCGGCGGCGAAGGCGGCCUGCUGGACUGAAACUGACGUUGAGGCUCGAAAGCGUGGGGAGCAAACAGGAUUAGAUACCCGAGUAGUC